rnacentral:other from 1 species
UACAAGCUGCGUUGUACGUAAUCAUAAUAAAGUUUUAACCUUUAAGCUGUAAAAGGGAGUUUAACUAUCGAAGCCGAAAUGACAAGCCUCUGUCUAUAAGACAUGGAGGACACGCAGGAAGGUUUCUGAGAACACCCACUUUGAGGAGUGGUGGUUUAAAACUUUCUUAUCCAACUACGGCAAAUGCGGCUACAUA